UACGGAGGGGGCAAGCGUUGUUCGGAUUUACUGGGCGUAAAGGGUGCGUAGGCGGUCGGGUAAGUCUGAUGUGAAAUCUCAGAGCUCAACUCUGAAACUGCAUUGGAUACUAUUCGGCUUGAGGUCUGGAGGGGGGACUGGAAUUCUCGGUGUAGCAGUGAAAUGCGUAGAUAUCUGGAGGAAUACCGGUGGCGAAGGCGGCAUCCUGGACCGACAUUGACGCUGAGGAGCGAAAGCUAGGGGAGCAAACGGG
rnacentral:rRNA from 1 species